rnacentral:lncRNA from 1 species
AAAAAUCGUCGGCGAAAAGCAAGAAUUCAAAAAAUCUAGAAAACUCUAAACAAAACAAGUUUCAGAUAGCCAAAUAAAGGCUAAAUCGAACAGACAACCUAGCAAACUCGAAACGAGACAAGCUUCAGAUAGCCAAAUAAAGGCUAAAUCGGACAAACUUGUGCAGUAUAACAGCAACAACAAAAAUCAGCAGGUUAAAGAAAUAGGAAAAAUAAAGCAACCAGAUUAGCAGGAAAAGAUAGCGUUAGACAAAAUGAACAUGUUCUCCUUUGAUUCUAGUGAUGAACACAUAACAGAAGAGCAAUGAGCACCUAGACAGUAGCGAUAAAACUUUAAAAAAGCAGCCAAAUAGAGACCAGAAAUAAACUUCAAAUUGAUGUUCAGCUACUAAUUGAAGUAGAGCCAACAACAAACAGUAGAAAAUCCCAACCAAAUCCUUUAGAAAACACUUGAAAAGUAGAGCUUGACAACCAAAUAAAAUUACAACAUAAAAGUAGAACUCAACAUCAGCUCUCAGUAGUAGAACAAGGAAAUCAAGCAGUGAAUUAAAUUGUAUAACAAAGAUGUGCAAUCGAAGAACAAAUAUGGAAAAUUUUGUAGAACAAGGAAAUCAAGCAGUGAAUCAAAUUUGUAUAACAAAGAUGUGCAAUCGAAGGACAAAUAUGGAAAAUUUUGAAUUCUUCUCUAAAUUUUUGGUCUUUUUUGUAGCUAUUAGGACUGAAAUUUUAAAAGCUUUUCUACUAAAAAUGAGAGUAAAAUAAUGAAAGAUCUCUAAAAAAAAUUGCAAUCUAACUCCUGUGUUAGGGAUUUAGGGGAGAUUAGCGAGAUGGGUGAGUUUAGGUGUAUGAGUGAAAGGGUCCGGAUUCGUGAGGUGAGCUAGUGAAGAAGAAGAAAGAGGGGUCUGGUUUUUUGGGUGGAAACCGAGUUGUG